CCUACGGGAGGCAGCAGUGGGGAAUAUUGGACAAUGGGGGCAACCCUGAUCCAGCAAUGCCGCGUGUGUGAAGAAGGCCUUCGGGUUGUAAAGCACUUUCGCACGCGACGAUGAUGACGGUAGCGUGAGAAGAAGCCCCGGCUAACUUCGUGCCAGCAGCCGCGGUAAU
rnacentral:rRNA from 1 species